UGGGGAAUAUUGGACAAUGGGCGAAAGCCUGAUCCAGCCAUGCCGCGUGUGUGAAGAAGGUCUUCGGAUUGUAAAGCACUUUAAGUUGGGAGGAAGGGCAGUAAAUUAAUACUUUGCUGUUUUGACGUUACCGACAGAAUAAGCACCGGCUAACUCUGUGCCAGCAGCCGCGGUAAUACAGAGGGUGCAAGCGUUAAUCGGAAUUACUGGGCGUAAAGCGCGCGUAGGUGGUUCGUUAAGUUGGAUGUGAAAUCCCCGGGCUCAACCUGGGAACUGCAUUCAAAACUGACUGACUAGAGUAUGGUAGAGGGUGGUGGAAUUUCCUGUGUAGCGGUGAAAUGCGUAGAUAUAGGAAGGAACACCAGUGGCGAAGGCGACCACCUGGACUAAUACUGACACUGAGGUGCGAAAGCGUGGGGAGCAAACA
rnacentral:rRNA from 1 species